rnacentral:rRNA from 1 species
GAUACCUACGGGGGGCAGCAGUGAGGAAUAUUGGUCAAUGGCCGAGAGGCUGAACCAGCCAAGUCGCGUGAGGGAUGACGGCCCUACGGGUUGUAAACCUCUUUUGUCGGGGAGCAAAGAGAGUCACGUGUGGCUCAUUGAGAGUACCCGAAGAAAAAGCAUCGGCUAACUCCGUGCCAGCAGCCGCGGUAAUACGGAGGAUGCGAGCGUUAUCCGGAUUUAUUGGGUUUAAAGGGUACGUAGGCGGGCCGUUAAGUCAGCGGUAAGAUUGCGGGGUUCAACCCCGU